rnacentral:rRNA from 1 species
UGCCAGCCGCCUCGGUAAUACAGAGGUCCCAAGCGUUGUUCGGAUUCACCGGGCGUAAAGGGUGCGUAGGUGGCGUGGAAAGUUUGAUGUGAAAGCUCCGGGCUCAACCCGGAAAAUGCAUUGGAUACUAUCAUGCUAGAGGAUCGGAGGGGAGACUGGAAUUCUCGGUGUAGCAGUGAAAUGCGUAGAUAUCGAGAGGAACACCAGUGGCGAAGGCGAGUCUCUGGACGAUUCCUGACACUGAGGCACGAAGGCUAGGGGAGCAAACAGGAUUAGAUA